UACGGAAGGCAGCAGUGGGGAAUAUUGCACAAUGGGCGCAAGCCUGAUGCAGCCAUGCCGCGUGUAUGAAGAAGGCCUUCGGGUUGUAAAGUACUUUCAGUCGUGAGGAAGGUGUUAAGGUUAAUAACCUUAGCAAUUGACGUUAGCGACAGAAGAAGCACCGGCUAACUCCGUGCCAGCAGCCGCGGUAAUACGGAGGGUGCGAGCGUUAAUCGGAAUUACUGGGCGUAAAGGGCACGCAGGCGGUUAAUUAAGUUGGAUGUGAAAUCCCCGGGCUUAACCUGGGAAUGGCAUUCAAGACUGGUUAGCUAGAGUCUUGUAGAGGGGGUAGAAUUCCAUGUGUAGCGGUGAAAUGCGUAGAGAUGUGGAGGAAAUACCGGUGGCGAAGGCGGCCCCUGGACAAAAGACUGACGCUCAUGUGCGAAAGCGUGGGGAGCAAACAGGAUUAGAUACC
rnacentral:rRNA from 1 species